GAUGAACGCUGGCGGCGUGCCUAAUACAUGCAAGUCGAGCGAACAGACGAGGAGCUUGCUCCUUUGACGUUAGCGGCGGACGGGUGAGUAACACGUGGGUAACCUACCUAUAAGACUGGGAUAACUUCGGGAAACCGGAGCUAAUACCGGAUAAUAUUUCGAACCGCAUGGUUCGAUAGUGAAAGAUGGCUUUGCUAUCACUUAUAGAUGGACCUGCGCCGUAUUAGCUAGUUGGUAAGGUAACGGCUUACCAAGGCAACGAUACGUAGCCGACCUGAGAGGGUGAUCGGCCACAAUGGAACUGAGACACGGUCCAGCCUCAUAAGGGAGGCAGCAGUAGGGAAUUUUCCGCAAUGGGCGAAAGCCUGACGGAGCAACGACGCGUGAGUGAUGAAGGUAUUCAGAUCGUAAAACUCUGUUAUUAGGGAAGAACAAACGUGUAAGUAACUGUGCACGUCUUGACGGUACCUAAUCAGAAAGCCACGGCUAACUACGUG
rnacentral:rRNA from 1 species